GUGCCAGCCGCCGCGGUAAGACGAACUGUCCUAACGUUGUUCGGAAUCACUGGGCUUAAAGGGCGCGUAGGCGGUCGGACAAGUCGGGGGUGAAAUCCUGCAGCUUAACUGUAGAAGUGCCUUCGAUACUGUCCGUCUGGAGGGAGAUAGGGGUGUGCGGAACUUCCAGUGGAGCGGUGAAAUGCGUUGAUAUUGGAAGGAACGCCGGAGGCGAAAGCGGCGCACUGGAUCUCUUCUGACGCUGAGGCGCGAAAGCUAGGGGAGCAAACGGGAUUAGAUACCCCCGUAGUCC
rnacentral:rRNA from 1 species